UAUACCCUCACUUUAAUAGAAUGAGAACUAGAAAAUCCUGGUGAGUUGCGAGCUACAGUAUGCCCUCAACACUAUGAUCAAAACUUUGUUUGCUUCCACCGUCCGCUGACCAUGAAACAGCUUCUUUUUAGUAACUUCUAGUCAUUUAAGGAAGAUCACUGGAGAAGUCCUCUGGUAAAUGGCAGGCUUAUGAUUUUUAAUAAGAGAACAUCAAAACAUUGUAUAAACAGGAAAUGACAUUUUAAUGACUAGGUCUCCGAAUUAUUGAAAAUACACAGGAGAGGCAGGGGAGUGGGGCAGGGAAAAAUACACAGGAGCCUUUUAGAAACUGCAAAUAGGUAAUGCGUCUGCCACCACCUUCUAGUUUUCUAAGUUACUUCUAGGUUUCUUUCAGUCCAAAAAAAAAAAAAAAAAAGACCACCCCAGGCUUUUCUUGGUUUUGUUUGUUCAAACAGGUUAUCACUAUAACUCUGGAUGGCCUCCAGCCUCAAUAAGUAAACAACCUAGCCUCAAAAUUCUUGCCUGUGCCUCCCAAGUGUCAGGAAUGAAGACAAGUGCCACUACGCCUGGCCAUGCAAAAUUUUGAGUUUUUGAGUGUGCUAGGGAUAAACCUGGGCAUUGUACAUGCUAGGCAAGCAUUCACUAAGCUAGCUCUAGCCCUUAAAAGGUUCCUAUUCGUCUAAAUUAUUAUGAAUUUACAUUAUUAAUCAAGUCUAAUACUGGUCACAUUAUUAGCAGUUUCCCUAGUCAUAAGCUGCUAUGGCGUAGGCAUGGUAACAGGUCCCUGUAGCCCUUACAACUGGGAGGUAUAGGCAGCAGAGUCAGUAGCUAAAAGCCAGCCUUAACUACGUAGUGAGUGCCAGGCCAGCCUGAGGUACAUGAAGACCCAAGGAAAAGCAAUAAAUUUUAAAACUAUUUACUGCAGGAUUAGAUGUGCUGUACAGGGACACAUUAGCAAUCCAGCUAUCAAAAACAAAGCAAGGCAAGCUCUAAGCCCUUCUUCAGCUGUGGAGGUUAGUCAUUCCAUUUGGGGCGACUAGUAGGCCUGGUUCAGCUUUAAAACAGCAAAUCCAGCAUUCCAGACAGUUAAGAUAUUCAAACCUGUAUUUAAGUUCCACUUCCAACAACCACCUGGUGCAAAAAAUAACCCAAGUCAGAGUGGGCGCAUAGCAAAUUCACCAAAACCUCGCAUGCAAGUGCUAACCAUUUCACUGGAGAAGCAUGAAACCCACACCAUAUGCAUUUUUCUCAAAUCUUGGUAAUUCCUAUGAACUAGCCAGAUUUAAACCAGUUUGUUUUCUUCAGUGAGUAU
rnacentral:lncRNA from 1 species